GGCCUGUAUAAGAAUGAGUUUUUGUCAAUCACAUAGUUUACCUUUGUUUCACUUUCAAUGCUGACAUUUUUCUCUUUUAAUACGACUUCUGUGACUGAUGCUUUUGGUUUUUGAUUCCUAGAAUUUUCUUUCUUGUUUCUUGAUUCUAUAAUUUGUUACUGCAACCUUUUCUCUCCUUCUAUUACAUAUACUGUUGAUCAAGUGCCUGUUAUUCCUUUGUUUAAUUUAUUUGGCCCUUUUACUUUUUGACCAUAAGCCUUUUGAUCUUUCAGUCUAAUUUGGAGUUUUUGCAUUUUUGU
rnacentral:lncRNA from 1 species